AGGCUUGACGCUGCAGCAGUUGCCUUUUCCGAUGGUUUGAAACUGGAUCCUGAAAGUAAAGAGCUUCAAGAAGCAUUCAGGGAGGUGACUUUAGACAGGUUGAAGGCCGUCAAUGUCUAGCAUUAGAUAGAAAGGCAGCUCAUUCUGAAACCCUUUUCUGGUGGAAGUUUUCGAAAGGUUAUGUAUAAAGUUAAAAACUUGCCAACCUAGCUCUGAAAGUAUGUUAAAGAGCAGGUCUUUUGAAGCAUUGGGCUAGUCUUCUUAUGUAUAUAGCCAACUUACUAUGCUGCGAGAUUUCUUAGCAUCGAUUUUGAAAUCCUGCUUUGGCAGUAUAAGAAUGAAAUCCUAGUUUUA